AUUGAACGCUGGCGGCACGCUUAACACAUGCAAGUCGAGCGGAAACGAUGGGAGCUUGCUCCCAGGCGUCGAGCGGCGGACGGGUGAGUAACGCGUAGGAAUCUACCCUGUAGCGGGGGAUAACUCUAGGAAACUGGGGCUAAUACCGCAUACUAUUCUGAGGAAGAAAGGUGCCUUCGGGUGCCGCUAUAGGAGGAGCCUGCGUCGGAUUAGCUUGUUGGUGAGGUAAAAGCUCACCAAGGCGACGAUCUGUAGCUGUUCUGAGAGGAUGGUCAGCCACACUGGGACUGAGACACGGCCCAG
rnacentral:rRNA from 1 species